ACAUUUUCCAUAGAUGUCAGCUUCUGUCUCCUGUGAUGCUCCACUCUGAGUGAUGCCAUGUUCAGCACUGAGUAGUACUGGCAAAGGAGAGCAGCUUCUCAGAAUGAGGUGUGCAGCUGCCAUUCCACCUCACAGCAGGGCUGUGUUUGCUGCUCCACAAGCUGCAGAGCAAGAGAAGCCAACUUGAGGAGCAUGCACACUGUGAUACCCUCAGUGGUUUCUUUUACAAUGCGUUUUGCUCCGGCCAGUGAAUUUUGUUUAACAGUGAAAGAAAAAUUAAAAUGAAAAAGGAAAAUGAAGAAGUUAAUGAUACCAGAUUUCAGCGAAGCUGAACGGCUUCCCGAAGAGCUCUGAGUUUUCUAUGCCAGAUUCUGCUCCAGUGGCUAGGACCUUUAUGGCUGCUGUUUCUUUUGCUCUGGGAUCUGAUGGAGGAAAAAAAAAAAGCCACGAUGGAUCCUGUCCCUAAAGUAGAAAUUUUCUUUUUCAUUCUGCAAACAAGGCUAAAGAUCGGAGGAGAAUGAAUGCAAAAGCAAUUCAGGAUUGUGGUCGUGCCAUUAAAAGUGUUCGGCUUCAGAACAAAAUUAUUUGGGAAAUCCGAGCAAUUCUUCUUACUGUAUCGACAGUAUUUAAAAGUUAUGUGUGCUUUGAGUAAUCUGGUUCAAGUGACAACAAUCUCUGCAUGUCAAUGUUUUCUGCAGCUUGUGGAGUGAAGGCUAGUUUUGCCAUUGGAAAGGAAGAAGCUUUUUCUAGCAGUCUGUAGAAGGAUUAAAUGGUGAACGUGGGGAAGAGGCAAAAAGUGAAUACACGCCCAAAGGUUAUCCUUGCAUCGUGAAUGGGUUUAAAGUACUCUGUAACCCAGGGCCCACCUGAACAGCAGGACUAAAAGUAUACCGGGGAAAUAUUUCAAUUAGAAUCCCCUUAACAAGCAUUUAAUCCUUCUUUCAGGCAUUAAGGAAAUAGAAUAAAAUUGUUACUGUACAAAUCUGCUGGAAGCAGAUUUUAACCCAUUUGUAGACGCUUCCCUCUGAUGCAUUAUAGUAACAUAGCUACUUGUGAGACAAGGCAGUGAAGAUUUUUAUCCUGUGUUCUUUGUUCUUUCUUUUCAAAAGUUAAGGACCAUACUCUCAGAAAAGUCUGUUCGAUCAGCUGAUACAUUGUUCGAAUGUAUGUAUGCGUCUUGCCUGCUUAUUUGAUCUUUUCUGCCCCCUACUUGAAACUGUGGUUUGUUUAUUUGGGGGGAAGGAGGUGGUGUUGAUUUGGUGGGGGGACGGGACAUUGGUUUUAGGGUUUCUUUUGGGUUUGGGGUUUUUUUUCUAUUUAACAAUAGCAGUGAAAGUUUUGGUGACAGCGAUUAUGACUACUAAACAAUUCAGUUUAUUGGAAGACGAAUUCUUCUGGACCAUAUCGGACUUUUCCUAGUCCCUGAGACCCUAACUUGUGAGGUUUUUUAGCAACAAUCACAAGUCAGGCUCUUGGGACCUAGGCGGAGGGGAACCAGCAGCUUUGGACUGUGUUUGUUUCUCUGCAGAAUUUAGAGAACCACAGGAGCUUUCCUUGGCUGGAAGGGUAAAAAGGAAAAUAUACCUAUUUUAAAUGUUAAGCAUCAGAACUGUUCCUAAAAAAAAAAGAAAAGAAAAAAAUCCAAACGACUGUUACUCAUUGUACAUAUUUAUAUGUUUAGAAAACUGGACUGGAUGUCAUGUAACAUUUAGAAUUAUAAUUUAACAUGAAUGUUAGUUUGCACAAAAAAAAAAAAACUCCCUCCAAACAACAAAAACAACAAAACUCCCACUCAAAACAGAUACUAAAAUAUAUAAUAGACUUCCAACCAUAAUAUUAAUACUAUUAUUAUUAUUGUUAUUGUGGACAAUUCUGAUAAAUAAUUACCAAAAAGAAUAUAUUCAUCUUUACUGUUCAAGCAUCAAUUGACUUUUAAAACAUAAAACAUAAACACUGAUGUUUGAGGCCUAGAAAACAUUCAUUCUAUUGUUUGAAUAAUGAUUUCAGUCUACAGGAAAACUGUUGCUUAGCUUUUCCUGUAACAUCGAACAAAGAGUAUUUUGUACUUAGUUGCCAUCCUUUUUCUUUGUCCAAGUGAGAACACAAUAUGUCAUUUAAAAUAUUCUCUCAUUUAAUUUACAUUUUAAUCUGAAAGAGAAUAUGGGUUUAAAAAUCAUACCACAGCAUUAACGUCCCUUUGCACUCAGAAACAUAUUUCUUGUACCUGUUCAAUUUAAAGCAAACCCACAAUACUCUAAGCACCCGACUCAACUUGUAACUUCUCCAUCACUUCUUAUAUUUUUUUAUCCCUCUGAAAAUAACCAGUGUGAGCUGUAGCUUGUCCCUCAUGUGUUAAGUUCUUCACUGGCUUUGCAUAAGGAGAUUCACAAGCACAUGAGUUAUUCUACACUGCUUAUUUGUCUCAAACAUCUGAUCUAAAACACGUCAUCUGAUUUGUAUUUCUUAAUAUUUUAUAGGUGAGUUAGUUCUGAGUCAUUUUUCUCUGUUUCCUGUGUCUAACCAAGAUGCUGAAGUACUUUGUUGAUACAUCAGACUUCACUGAAACAAAGGCUUCACACAGAUCAGGCAUCUAAACUAUUUGUUCAUUUCAAAAGUGGUAUUUUGGCUACAGUAUAUUUUUUCCACUUGUGUGGGAGGAAUUGUGUUUUAUUGUAAGCAUCAACACUAUUGUUAAAAUAAAUUGUUCUUAUCUGUUAGUAUAAUACUUUUUCUUCUUGUCUUGUUUUCUUAAGAGGCAGAAACUAUACUCAGUACAUAGUUUUCAAGUUGCUCAAGAUAUAAUUAGUCUUUAAAUAGUCAUAAAAAAUAUUGCCUUAGCAAUUACAAUGAUGAUACAGUUCCUGUAAAUAUGUAAUUCUUUUCUUCGUAAACUGUCAAUCCCACAUGCUAAGAACACCCAAAAGAGUUACUUGCAAAUAUUCAGAUACAGAGGUAAACUUUUUAACACAGAUGUGAUAUUCAAUGUUGAUUUCUGUUUAGGAAAUACUGGAAAAGUAGAUUUGAAUGUGUAUAGGAAAGACAAAUGCACCCAGCUAGGUGCUACACUCGUGAAGCACUUUGUUAGGAAUUUACACAUAUUCUGUAGCAGUUUUCAAUACUGAAAACAGGUUAUUUAAGAUACUGAUCAGGUGAACACAUAUUCUGUUCAUUUGAGCUGUAUAAUGAGAUAAAACUAUACUGUGUGUUGCUAUAUACAUGUCAAUAUAUAAUUUAAAUUACACAUAGUGUUUAUUGAAAUAAAAGUCCUUAUAGAUUUAA